GACGAACGCUGGCGGCGUGCUUAACACAUGCAAGUCGAACGGGAUCCGGGCUUUCGGGUUUGGUGAGAGUGGCGAACGGGUGAGUAACACGUGAGUAACCUGCCCCCUUCUUUGGGAUAACGUCGGGAAAUCGGCGCUAAUACUGGAUAUUCUUGCUGCAUCGCAUGGUGUGGUUUGGAAAGGGUUCCUGGUGGGGGAUGGGCUCGCGGCCUAUCAGCUUGUUGGUGGGGUGAUGGCCUACCAAGGCUUUGACGGGUAGCCGGCCUGAGAGGGUGUCCGGGCACACUGGGACUGAGACACGGCCCAGACUCCUGCGGGAGGCGGCAGUGGGGGGUAUUGCACAGUGGGCGCAAGCCUGAUGCAGCGACGCCGCGUGAGGGAUGACGGCCUUCGGGUUGUAAACCUCUUUCAGUAUGGAACAAGGAUCCUUCUUUUGGGGGGUUUGAGGGUACGUGCAGAAGAAGCGCCGGCUAACUACGUG
rnacentral:rRNA from 1 species